rnacentral:rRNA from 1 species
GCUGAAAGCAUCUAAGCACGAAACUUGCCCCGAGAUGAGUUCUCCCUGACUCCUUGAGAGUCCUGAAGGAACGUUGAAGACGACGACGUUGAUAGGCCGGGUGUGUAAGCGCAGCGAUGCGUUGAGCUAACCGGUACUAAUGAACCGUGAGGCUUAACCUU